rnacentral:tRNA from 1 species
GCGGGUGUAGUACAGUGGCAGUACGCUAGCUUCCCAAGCUAGACACGGGAGUUCGAUUCUCCUCACCCGCU